rnacentral:sRNA from 1 species
GGCUUGCGUGAGGGAUAGUAACGAAAAUCCUUUUUUAGCUUGGCGCGAUAGCGACAGGAUAAAAAAGAUUGUAGGGUAUAGCCCGACCCGCU